GUUAAGCAGUCUCAGUGACCUCUGAUUACUAACGUAGCACUCCUCUACAAUGCUCUAGGGUGCUCCUGAGCUGUUGUCAGCCUCUGAAACACACCAGUGGUUUCAGUUCAAAGUCUGUGUGAAACUUCAUUGUGUUGGAUGAUGGAAAUCUUCAUGUAUCUGAAUUUCAUUUCGGAGGCCUGAUGAUGACAGCUGUUUUUUAAAUGCUUAGAAAAGAAGCAAGAGCAAAAAGACUCUACCAGACUUCAGAGAUCAGAACAGAGCCCUGGGAAAAUCUGCAGCUGCAGCAGCACCUGUCUCGUCAAGAUUAAAUCAGGUGGGAAGUCACCUCCACAAGUAGGAGAGAGCUACCUAGAGUAAGACUGAGACAUCUCCAUUAAUUACCCUUAUCUGGAGAAAAUACCGGAAAAAAUAAUACAUAACCAACGACUGGAAGCUUAAAGGAGUCGCCUUUGAAAUUAGAUACUUCCUUUUAAAAGUUGAAGUGGCUCUCCGUUACGGCCUAGAGAUGAUAAAUGGCUUCCUCUCCUCAUCUGCGCAUGGCCCAGCUACGAGCCCAUUGUUCCUGGAGCUGCUCUUUCCCAGUGCUGCCAGCCCCAGGGCUAUUGUGCUUCACAGAGCAAGAACCACUCCAGGGACAGGACAACCAUGUCACGAAUGUGUUUGGCCCUCACUGGCUGGAGGACCUUGUGACAAAGAACAGUUUGCAAAAUGUAAACGUGUUUACUGCACAUGAUAAACUUUUGACCAGUAAUUUUGGCCCUGGCUGGAAGCUAGGCCCUCCUGCAAGUAAGCUUUGUCCCACCUAACUAAUCUGCUGAAAGACAGUUGUCUGAGCUAUUGAGCUGGUUACUGUGGCUUCCUCUGUAAUUGAUGUGGAGGAAUAUUCAACCCAUCUGAAGUAGAUGACUUUUCUCAGGAGCUACCUACUUGCCACUGGCUAUAGAGGGAACUGAGGCUGCUACUGAAUUAAACAUAUACUUUUCCAGAUGACUGAAAUGAUGUGAUAUGAAUUCCAUUUUACAUGCUUUUCUGUACCAGUUGAAGCCUGAUCUGUGUGCACAAAUCUCUUCCUUACACUGUAGCCUGAGACAUUCAAUGCUACUUCCAUUUUUUAUUUUGAAACUGUUAUACAAGUUUCCUUUUCUUCUCUCUUUAAUUAAUGGAACUGAUAAAUAAUUUGCAACAAAUCACAUACUUCAACAAAAUAGAAGUUUUGGAAAAAAAAUCUGUGAGCACCUUCCAGUUUUCCUUCAAUGUGUAUGCUUUUCAAAGUUCAGUGACUGCAUCUUCUGCAGACAGUUGGGUAAGGAUAUUCAGUACUUAAAAUUCAAAGGCUGUGGGCUGGUCUGGUUUGGAUACGUUUACCACAGAGUAUUUUUCCUGUUCUGUGGCAGAAUGACAACUAGUGGUUAUUUGCAGUAAUUAGUUUGACUCCGUUCAGCACUGGUUUAAAAACAUGGUGAUGGUCUGUUACAAUGACUCAGUUGCAUGGCAAUGAUUCUGAAUGGAAUUAUUGAAGCUAUUGAAACAAGAUUGCUUGAGAUUAUUUUGUCUAAAAUAUUAGGUUUUGUGAGUUGAAUAUUUAUUUUCUGCAGAUGAACCCUAAUAUGUACUUAAAAUUCAUAGUUUCUAAGAAUGCUAUUAGUGAAUUUAUUUGCUACAACAUUCCUGAAAAAAAUAAAUGUAAAGGAGAAGGAUAUAUUGGAAAUAAAUUGACUACUUUUGUGCAACAAGUUAGAAACUGAGAAUUAACACUGAACUAGUAACAGGUUUUACAAAACAA